rnacentral:rRNA from 1 species
AUGCCUGAUGAAACUGCUCCAACCAGUUCCUCGGUAGCAGAUUCAACAACGACUUCAUCUUUGAAGCUUAUUACUCUUCCUUCUGGAUCAGAAGCGAAGAAGACAAAGGCUGCUGAGAGAGAAGCAAAGAAGAGAAAGGCAUCAGCUCCACCUAUGCCUGAAUCCCUAAAGAAAUUGAAGACGACAACAUUGUCUUCAAUUGUCAUUCCUAUUGCCGCAAUACUAGUCUCAUCAGCACCCCCUACUAGCAAUCUUGAGAAUCUUCAAAUGGUUCCAUAUGGGGUGGAUUAUGAAAUCUCUCAGGCUGAUGAUGAAGAAGAUAGCCAUUCUGUUGCUUCCACAGAGCGAAUGGAUGAACAAAUUGAGGUUGAUGCUAAUGUAUCAAUGCCUCAAGAUACUACUCAUAGUCCUCAGCAAACUCCACUGAUUGAAGAAAAUGAGGAGGAAGUGGAUAUUGAUGGCGAGACUACUCCACCAAUUCAUGACGAAUUUUGGGAAGCAGCUCACCCAAAUUUGCCUCUCACCACUCCCCUCACAAGAGUGCCUCAGUCACCUCAGCGCACUAAAGAAAUUCCUACUGGCUCUGAAGAACAACAACCAUUUCUCAACAACAUUACUGAAGAAAUUCCAGAUGCAACAGCUGAUGAAAUUGCUCAUAAUGACUCUAAUGUUGGAUGUCAUCAAUGCAUCUCCUCCUCGCGCCGAUUCAAUUCCCUCAGGAGAUACAAAUACAGUUCCAACUGCCACAGCGAAAGAAGUUGCUCGUGCCCUUGUCGUCACAGAUCCUAA